rnacentral:rRNA from 1 species
AACAGAUUUACUUCGGUAAUGACGUUAGGAAAGCGAGCGGCGGAUGGGUGAGUACACGUGGGGAACCUGCCCCAUAGUCUGGGAUACCACUUGGAAACAGGUGCUAAUACCGGAUAAGAAAGCAGAUCGCAUGAUCAGCUUUUAAAAGGCGGCGUAAGCUGUCGCUAUGGGAUGGCCCCGCGGUGCAUUAGCUAGUUGGUAAGGUAAAGGCUUACCAAGGCGAUGAUGCAUAGCCGAGUUGAGUGACUGAUCGGCCACAUUGGGACUGAGACACGGCCCAAACUCCUACGGGAGGCAGCAGUAGGGAAUCUUCCACAAUGGACGCAAGUCUGAUGGGGCAACGCCGCGUGAGUGAAGAAGGUUUUCGGAUCGUAAAGCUCUGUUGUUGGUGAA